UACAGAGGUCCCAAGCGUUGUUCGGAUUCACUGGGCGUAAAGGGUGCGUAGGUGGCAUGGUAAGUUUGAUGUGAAAUCUCCGGGCUUAACCCGGAAAUGGCAUUGAAUACUACUGUGCUGGAGGUUUGGAGGGGGGACUGGAAUUCUCGGUGUAGCAGUGAAAUGCGUAGAUAUCGAGAGGAACACCAGUGGCGAAGGCGAGUCCCUGGACAACACCUGACACUGAGGCACGAAAGCUAGGGGGAGCAAACAGG
rnacentral:rRNA from 1 species